ensembl:lncRNA
GCUGCACUGAUGUACACUGAUAUUUACACAGGUAUAUGACAUCACAUUUAUUUGAAAACAGAGAAUGUCCAUCAAACAAGUUUAUUUAAAUUCAUUCGCUAAAUCCGAGUCAAUGAACAGAGUAAUUAUACUUAUGCCAAAACUGAAAAGGUACUGAAAACUCAGCACAAUAAGUUGUGAUCUUGACCCUGUUUGGAUCAUUUCCAAAAUAUAAUCGGUUUAGCUGCUGGUUACACUGAUACAAUGUUACCACAUAAAUCCUACAAACAUUCAAACACUCGUUCUUAAAUUAUCACACUACUAUGAGAAUCUCAGACAGGUACACGAACACACAACCGAAAAAAAAACAAAAAACAAGCAUAUAAAACAUUCAUUAGCAUCCCAUGGCUCUAAAAAGUGUACCUUUUAGUAAUAUAAUAAGUGUAAUGUGAUAGCAGCCUGCCACAUGAUAGCCCCUGCUUUAGUGGGUUGAGUAAGAUCACUGACGUGUACCUCUUUGAUCUACUAAAUUAUAAUUUAAACAUUUUUAAUAUCUUUUUAAAAGAAUACACUUAAGGUGCCAUGACAAUGAAAUAUCUUUUAGUUUAAGUAUGCUUCAGUAUGUAAAAAAUACAUUUUCUCAUUGUACUGCCAAAGGGGUACAGAACUACACUACCCAUCAGCCCCUGCACAUCACGGUUCACUAAUCACUCACACCUGUUUCCUGUUUCACCUUGAUUAGCACCACUAUUGAAGUUCUUCAGCAACUCAUCGUUAAGCUUCUGUUGUAUUAUCGUUUGUUGUCCCACAGUAGCGCUUCUAGUGUGCAUGUUUUUUGCCUUGUAUCCGCAGUUCACGUUCAUGGUUCUUGUUUUUGGCUGUUUGUUUGCACUUUACUCAAUAAACUGUCCGCAGUUGCAUCCGUCUUCGCCUUUAAUUUGUUCCACGUUUACUGAAGUGUACUUAUUGAGUUGUAUUAAGGCAUACUUUGAAAGGAAUUACAUUUGAGUAUACUUAAAAAAACAAAACAAAACUACACUUAAAUUGACAAGACAAUGAAAUAUACUUUUGUUUAAGUACGUUUCAGUAUGUAAAAAAGCGAAGUGUACUUAUUAAGUACUUUAAAGUACUGUAUACUUUUCAAAUAAGACAUUUAAGUUGAACAUGAAGAUUCAUAUACUUCUGUACGCAGCCUUUACUGCAUCAUAACGAAGUAGAAUUUUAAAAGUGUUACUUAAAACACACUUUAUUAUAAAAUACGGAAAAGCGUAUCUCAUUACUAUUUAUAGAACGUAUAUGAAAUGAAAAGCAUUUACUAUUCCUUAUGUACUGGAAGUAUACUUUUUUGCACUUGAGUAUGAUUUGUUUUCAGGAAGAUAACCACCAGAAUACUGUGUGAACAAAUUGAAUGCUCUUCACACAGAGUAGUGCUGUGAAUGACUAAGGUCAUUUAAACCUAGCAGGAAACGUUGGUUGUUUAUUCACCAAAAAAAAAAGGAAAAAAAGAGGAGUCGUCUGGAGGUUCUAAACGCUUCUGUAGAUUUGGCUAGAGAUAUCGGCCAGACAUGCCUUGGCCCUCUGAACACUUUGCUUUCUCUGUCUUCAGGAUGAAAUAUUUAUACCCAGUGUAGCAUUGUUCAGCACUACAGCUUCACUCAGAACAGAUGGCUGUAUGUAGCUGCUCAAGUACUCAAAUAAGAGCUACACAAAAAAUCUGACCCAUGGCAGAGUGUUGCUAUGAGAAAGUGUCACGAUGAAGGAAGGAAGCUUCUUUGACUUCCCACUGGAGUCUGUCCCAUCAGUGAUAAAUGGCUUUUCACGUAGACAUGGGAACAGCCAGCACAUCACCGUGACAUUCUUAGUCAGUCUUGAUUUACUCAUGGACUACCAUACACAGAUCAGCGCUUAGAGCUCGUACCGCUCCUAACACGCUUAGAGAAGCCCUUAGUGCACGCAGACAAUUGAUCCGUUCAAAUUAGAACGCAUGAAGUACCAAGACUGAUUGCAAGGUGAAAAGUUCAGCAGACACAAGCAGGCCAAAAGACAACUUCAUACCACUCAUGCGUGACUAUUUCGACAAAAACACAUAACCAUGAUGACAGAGAGAUGCAACGCACUCAGAACAUGACGUUGAAAUUCCGCAACCUGUUAUGCCAGAGUAUGGGUCGGACCGGUCUGACCCACAUGCUGCCCUUCUGUCCUGGUAGAACACAGAUAACAAGUUUUACAAAGGCGAGUCAGGACAAAAAAGGGACUAAUUGAAUGUGCAGAUGAAGCCGAGAGGACAUUGUUCUCCCGGAGCAGAGCAGCCUUCCAUGUUUCAUAAAUCUCAAAAUGACACUGACAUUUUCCUCAGUGCCGAGGCUGCGUGAUUAGUUUUCCUUCCUCCUGUAUGUAUGAGCGCGCGCACACACACACACACACAACCCAUUAUUACUCAUCAUCAUGCUUGGAGUAAAAAAGAACAGAAUAUAAAGCUCACAAAGAAUAAACCACCACUGGUGCAUCAGAGACGAUACUGUGAGAAGAUCAUCUCUCACCUGAAAAACGUGUCAACUGCAUUCAUUGUGAAAAUGAGAGCAAAACAUACAAGGUGCAGCUCAGAAAUGCAACUAGACACCAUUCCAUAAAGGAGGACAUACACGGCGUUAUGAUUGUGUACAUGAUUAAGAUCUGACAUGCUGAAAGGUGUGCACUAAUGAUUAACUCAGCAGCGUCUGUUGCAGGAUCCCAAACCGGACGUGACUUCCUGCUAUGGACUCGGCCGACCAAUAUCAGGCUGACCAAAUUGAUCUCUUACCCGGGAGGAAAACAUGUUAAUAACAAAGCUAGCAUGAAUACCCAAGCAGGACGAGGUUUAAAACUUGGACUUUGCUUUUGAUUAGAAUAUUUACGCUGUGUGCAGCACGCACAAACAUCAAUUACUGCUCGGACUAUUAAUACCGUGCUCGGAAAAGUGGUGCGUGGGAAAACUGGCUCGCUAUUCGGAUUGAAGGAAACACUCAAUUUAGAAGCAUGCUAAUUAUCUAAUGUGUGUCUUGCAUUUCAUAUUUGAUUUGUAUUACGUUACAGCUUCCCAGCAGGGCGUUUAUAUAUUAAAACAAGCACUGCCCGUUUGACCUUCUCAGAGAGAAAUGACUACAUUCAUCAUGUGUGUACAUGCCCUGUGUGUAUUUGCUCAUGUCCGCCUUGUGUAGUAAUCAUUUUUAACAAAGGUCACUAUGAUGUCUGAAAAUUCCUCUUCAUUUACAUCAAAUUGCUGUAAAGACCAAAUCAAGAAGCUUUUUGUUCCUAAUUGGAAACUCUUAUGCAGCGAUGCACUAUGCCGGGUUUCUUAAUUAGCAGCUUGGAUUACUGAUUCAAUCUCAAUAUUUAUAGUAUUGUAGAACCAGAAUGGUUUCAUGCUUCUUAAAAACGGAGUGGGGCAUACAACAUUUCCGGGGCUCUUAAUGCCAACACACAUAAAGAAGCGCAUUCAUUUUCUAACCAGUAGUUAUAUUAACACUGUUACCAUCCUGUGUUUUUACGACUGUUAUGAAAAGCAUUUUAAAAAAAAAGAGUCUUCUCCUCUUGUGUAUGCAAUCAAAUCCCUAGAGAGUGAAGAUUAAAGUGCUGAAUCAGACUGUAGGACAAGUCCUCUCCAUUACAGCGUUACUGGUCUUUUUUGUGCUUUUUACUCACUUGCUCUGCCUAUCAGCUUUCUCUUACAUUUUCUGGAAUCAUCCGUCAGUGAAAUUUAGCUCUGCCUCUUUUUUUCACUGCGUGUGCAUUAUCGCAUGUGUACUGUAGGGUUGUGAGUCUGUGUGUGGUGUGUGUGUGUGUGUGCGCAUGUGCUUGAGAGAGUGUUUUCACACCACACAUUCUUUCUCCCUGUUCAAGAAACAAUGUCUCUGUGUUUGAAAUCAUAGUCAUAUUCCAUCUGCUUCGUACUUUAUCUCCAGGUGACAAGCAAAACACAUGACUCAUCUCCAGGCAGCAAACACUUCUCAUCUCCUUCUUUUGUUUCUGUCCUUUUCUUAUGCCCUGUACACGGAACAAAUCAGAUUCAUUUAUUCAAUGACGGCGAGAAUUCAAUUGACCAGGCUUUCCUUUCUGUUUCACUGUGGAGAGGACUGAGAUUAUCUUUACCAUCGAUAGUUGCCAUGGAUACACGGCUCACGUCUUGUUGGCAUUGCUGAAGCUGUAAACACUUGAGUGUACUUCAAACUUAAUGGCCAUGUUGCCACUACUUGCACAAUACAAUGUUAUGGAACCUGCUCUAAAAUGGAGUGCGUAGUGAAAUGAUCCUGUCAGGUUCACACAUUAACUGUAUUAAUAGACUCGAGGUAAUAUGGCAUGUUUCCCCUUGAAACUCAGUAUGCCUAGAUAGAUUUCAAAACAUAAGCCACACUAUGAAGGUGAAGCUGAGGAACCUCGAAGAAACUCACACUAAACAUUUGCGAGUGACGACUAUAACCUCAACUAAGUGGCAUGAAGGAUGCUUGGAGAACUGUUAAACGUGCUGAGAACUUUGAGAACAUGGGCUUUGUGGAUUCUGGUGUGUGUUAGAAAGCCAAGCCUCUGAUUAAAGACUCUUUGGUAGGAGUUGUUAAAUAUACUGUAGGGAGGAGACGGGGAGGUGGUGGAGAGAGAGAGAGAGAGAGAGAGAGAGAGAGAUGAAAAUGUUAAAGGAAGUUAACUAGGAAGAAAGUGAAGCUUCUGGCAUGUUCUUUCUCCCAAACUUCUAAACCAAACAGUUCAUUUCAAUGACGUGGCUGACAAAAUAACGUACUAUAUAUUGUAAUAGAUUCACUGACCACUUUAAGUACAUGCGAACUAGAAGAUAAUGGCAAACAUGCUGGGAAAAGUCCAUAUCUGACUGUGAGAGUCGAGCACGUACACAUUUUCCAGUAAACUGUAAUAUGCAUGUGUUCUGGCAUUUUUAGGAAGAUACGAUAUUUAUGAUAUUUUCCACUUAGUCAUUAUGUGACUCAUGAUGGUGUCCUCAAAUGGCUAAAAAUGCCUACACAUACUACAGUGCCUUGAAGAAAGUGCCCUCUGAUAGUCCCCUCUGAAACUAUUGGAACGGCAAGGCCAAUUCAGUUGUUUUUGCUGCAGACUGAAGACAUUUGGGUUUUAGAUUAAAAGAGAAAUAUGAGAAGAGAGUUUAGAAAUUCACCUUUUAUUUCCUGGUAUUUAUAUGUAUAUGUGUUAAACGACAUAGAACAUAGCACAUUUUGUAUCAGACAACCCAAUUUGUAGGCGAGCAAAAAUACUGGAACACGUUAUAUACUGUAUAGUGUGUCCUGUUCGAUUGAUUGUUUAAACAAUAAAUAGCUUUGAACAUCGACUCUUGGUUUUAGCCUUCAGUUUCACCUGUGAAGACGGAAUUUUUGUUAAAAGUAUCAACCAAAAUUGAGAGCAGAGAGCUGCCUAUGGGAGAAAAGCAAGCCAUUUUGAAGCUGAGUUUCACAAGAGUGGCUCCCUCCCUUGGGUGCAUUUCAACUGCUGGCAUCGGACAGCUGCUGGAACACAUUGACAGUUUAUCAGGUAAAACCUACAUACUGUAUGCACUGUGGACACAAUUACAGACUGAAGCCAUGUAUAAUUUGUCAGCCAUCCUCAACCCUGAACUAAAAUCAGUGGAAAGGGACCACCACAGAAAUAUUAAUUACCACACAUUAUAUGAGUGUUUAUUAUUACUACUAUGUCAGGGUUACUGACAAUACUCCACCAACCAAACAAUAUCUUGUCACCGGCGAUCCUGUGGUGGUCCAUUUCCGUUAAUAAACUUGUACAUCCCCACACAGUGUACAGACAUGUAAUAGGACUACUGGUGUAGCUUGGUACAGGAUAAGGUUUUGAGAAACAGAGCAUAACACCGUGCAACUAGUUUUGCAUUUGUUUUGCACUAAAUACAUUUCAAGCUUCUGGAUGAGGUUCAUAACUGAAGCGAGGCCCUCCUUAAGGCUUUUAACUAGGUAACACCAGCCCUAGGGAAAGCCUGUUGGAUGUUGUUCUACUAAUUCACACAUCUUCUUACGAAGUUCCUUCAUUGCAAUGCCUUAUGUUUUAACAGUUGACAACUUCCUAGUUUAUUCCAUCCAUUUUCCCACACUGGAUAUUUUCUACUGAGGCAACUAAGAGGUGACUUCACUGGCAUCAAUACUCUGAACCCAAGCCAUGAAACUGUGCCAAUGACUUCAUCAACCUGACAUAUUUGAACUGUGAAGUACUGCAAAAUGCCUGUGUCAGAUGCUAAUCUAAAAAUUAAUCCGUUUUAAUUUUUGUCUCCCCAGUAAACAGACUGCGGCUUGUAAUCUGCAUGUGAAAUAAACAAAUACUAAUCAUACCAGUGACAACAAACAGGUUUCUGGUGCAAUUUCGCUGCUUUUUGCCACAAUGUGCCGGCACCUUUAAAUUUCAUGUUCCAUCUGUGCUGGCACGACUCCAAUGUAUGAGUCAGUGUCAUGCUGGAAAUGCUUAUGCGGUGUCUUCUGGGCUCCUGCUACUAAAGACACUCACAUCCCCUGUAGUGGUACAAUCUGGAAUCUAUCUCACCUUUCUUUACCUGUUGUUUUUGCCCACCAUGUCUGCCCACCAUGACUGAUAUUUACUGCAAACAUAUCAGAGAUUCUCCUCCUGUUUCUCCUUAUCUAGCUUUGGUUCAAAUGAACAGUGGAAAUGAGAGAAUGAUGAGAACAAUUUCAACAUCCAGAAUACACAUACAGAAUUCUCCAGUUAAACUGACACUUUUAGGAUAAGACAGGUGUGGUGCCUUUGUGAGAUAUACAAGGGUGUAACACAGUGCUGACACGCUGGAGAUCAGGUGCACGUCACGAAGGGGCGGAGUAGACGUUUGUUAUGGAUUGAGUUGUCUUAGGUUUGUGGUUGCUACGCUAUGCGCUGUUUAAAGCAUGAGCUCAAACCUGCCAACUCAUACUGAAUGGAAGACAUUAUGGCAGCUUAUAUGGGUAAAACAGUGUUGAUGUAUAUAAAAUAUGAUAUAUUGUUAAUAAUCUGUUUACACACUGUACAUUGAGGAUAAGGGCCUAGAAGCUGACCACUGUCAUAACGUUUUACGUUCCAAACACAGGUUGCAAACGGAUCAGGCCACUAGCUUAUUUUGUCAGCAGCCACUUGUGCCCGGAGAGGCUGAUAAUAAAUAAAGACAGAAACUUUGAUCCUCUUUCUCUGCACUAUGAAUGUUUAUAACCUCACCAAAUGAUCCAGUCUUACAGUGCUGGUUCAAAGUCUGACCUGGAUUACUGCCCUGUACUAUUACAAGUCAGAAUGGAGACUCAAGAAGAAAGGAUUUCUUUGGUCCAUUAAUUGAGUCUAAAUCAGUUCAUAUACACGUUUAACAACAGGGACUAAAUAUAUUAGAUCUAGUAUAAAUUAAUGUGUUCAGUCUGAAAUCAGUAUCCUAAUCAGUAGGGUAAUGUUGUAAUUCAACAUUAAGAUAAAGAUAAAUUACUUUAGUUUGUAAUUCCCCUUUAAGUGUACA